rnacentral:rRNA from 1 species
AGAAAUUCCGUCUAAUACCGCGUAACAACCCGAGGAGGCAUCUCCUCGGGUUUUAAAGGAAGCGAUUCCGGCUACGGAUGGUCAUGCGUCGCAUUAGCUAGUUGGCGGGGUAACGGCCCACCAAGGCGACGAUGCGUAGGGGUUCUGAGAGGAAGGUCCCCCACACUGGUACUGAGACACGGACCAGACUCCUACGGAAGGCAGCAG